UACGUAGGGGGCAAGCGUUGUCCGGAUUUAUUGGGCGUAAAGAGCGUGUAGGCGGCCAUACAGGUCCGUUGUGAAAACUCGAGGCUCAACCUCGAGACGUCGAUGGAAACCGUAUGGCUAGAGUCCGGAAGAGGAGAGUGGAAUUCCUGGUGUAGCGGUGAAAUGCGCAGAUAUCAGGAGGAACACCGGUGGCGAAGGCGGGUCUCUGGGCCGAUACUGACGCUGAGGAGCGAAAGCGUGGGGAGCAAACAGG
rnacentral:rRNA from 1 species